GCCCUCGUAGCUCAGCGGACAAGAGCACCAGCUUCCGAAGCUGGGGGUCGGCGGUUCGAUUCCGCCCGGGGGUG
rnacentral:tRNA from 1 species